rnacentral:rRNA from 1 species
UGGGGAAUAUUGCACAAUGGGCGAAAGCCUGAUGCAGCGACGCCGCGUGCGGGAUGAAGGCCUUCGGGUUGUAAACCGCUUUUGAUUGGGAGCAAGCGAGAGUGAGUGUACCUUUCGAAUAAGCACCGGCUAACUACGUGCCAGCAGCCGCGGUAAUACGUAGGGUGCAAGCGUUAUCCGGAAUUAUUGGGCGUAAAGAGCUCGUAGGCGGUUUGUCGCGUCUGGUGUGAAAGUCCAUCGCUUAACGGUGGAUCUGCGCCGGGUACGGGCAGGCUAGAGUGCGACAGGGGAGACUGGAAUUCCCGGUGUAACGGUGGAAUGUGUAGAUAUCGGGAAGAACACCAAUGGCGAAGGCAGGUCUCUGGGUCGUCACUGACGCUGAGGAGCGAAAGCGUGGGGAGCGAACAGGAUUAGAUACCCUGGUAGUCCACGCCGUAAACGGUGGAUGCUGGAUGUGGGGCCCAUUCCACGGGUUCCGUGUCGGAGCUAACGCGUUAAGCAUCCCGCCUGGGGAGUACGGCCGCAAGGCUAAAGCUCUAAAGUGAAUUGAC